AGGUGGAGAAGACCAGGCACUACCUGCUCCUGCGGGAGAAGCUGGAGACCGCCCAGCGGCCUGUCCCAGAGGCACUGUCCCCGGCCUUCAGCGAGGACUCUGAGUCCCAUGGCUCCUCCAGCGCCUCCUCCCCGCUCUCGGCUGAGGGCCACCCAUCACCCCUGGAGGCUCCCAACGAGAGGCAGCGGGAGCUGGCCGUCAAGUGCUUGCGCCUGCUCAUGCACACAUUCAACAGAGAGUACACACACAGCCACGUCUGCGUCAGUGCCAGCGAGAGCAAGCUCUCCGAGAUGUCUGUCACCCUGCUCCGGGACCCGUCGAUGUCCCCUCUAGGGGCGGCCACUCUCACCCCCUCCUCCACUUGCCCCUCUCUGGUUGAAGGGCGGUACGGUGCCACUGACCUGAGGUGAGUGAGCUCCAGGCUCCCGGAGUGGCUUCCGGCACCACGGCUGACCCAUGACCAUGGCCAUGACUCGGGCACAGAGAGCACAGAACAGGGGGCCCCAACGGCCGAGUGUCUUGGGGUGGCCACAGGCUGAGGGAAGGGCCUGGAGGAGUGGAGUCCGCGGCCCUCUCAGAGGGCGCCUGUGCCCCGCCAGCUCCAUCCUAGUGUGUGCGUGUUCUCUUCCCUGAAGAAGACCAGAGAUGGGUGGAAAACAAGCUAAAGCUCCCCUUUCCUGAGACAGUGCUUAU
rnacentral:sRNA from 1 species